rnacentral:rRNA from 1 species
UACGAAGGGUGCAAGCGUUACUCGGAAUUACUGGGCGUAAAGCGCGCGUAGGUGGUUUGUUAAGUUGGAUGUGAAAUCCCCGGGCUCAACCUGGGAACUGCAUUCAAAACUGACAAGCUAGAGUAUGGUAGAGGGUGGUGGAAUUUCCUGUGUAGCGGUGAAAUGCGUAGAUAUAGGAAGGAACACCAGUGGCGAAGGCGACCGCCUGGACUGAUACUGACACUGAGGUGCGAAAGCGUGGGGAGCAAACAGG